ACUCGCAUUGAUCAUUCUUCUAUUUUUUUAUUACUACUAUACCCUUCUCGAUUUCCGGUACGGAAGUCCUUAGCUCGGCUUCUACCCAGAUACCGGCAAAUUCGCCGACGUUGAAGUCUCCCGUCGCUGUCUCCGUUUCCGGCGACGAUGAAGCUCUCAUUUUCUCUCUCUUCAAAGCCAUCUUCAAACCUGAAGAAGCAUCCGUCUUCUCAGACCUUCACCGGCGACGAUCCCCGCAACUCCUCAAACCCCGUCGAAAAAGAGUACGUCACGGAAUUCGACCCUUCCAAAGCUGCAGCUAGUUCCACCAAAGACACACUCAUAAUACCUCCAAAGCAGAACGAAUGGCGCCCUAUCAAACGGAUGAAAAAUCUCGAAGUCCCUCUCCAAGCGGAUGCUUCUGCUGCCGAUCAACCACUUCAAUUCGAACUUGACUCUGGCGCUGGUGUCGAACCGGCGUCAGAUGGAAUCUCUUACGGCCUCAAUGUCCGCCAAUCAGAAAACCCUAAUCCUGAUCCUAACCCUAACCCUAACCCUAACCCUAACACGAACUCAAACUCUAAACAGAUGAUUGAUCCGAUGUUGCAUAAGUUUAAGGAAGAUUUGAAGAGGUUGCCAGAGCAUAACGGGAUUGAUGAAUAUACUGAUAUGCCAGUGGAGGGAUUUGGGGCUGCUUUGUUGAAGGGUUAUGGGUGGGUUGAAGGUAGAGGGAUUGGUCGGAACGCGAAAGAGGAUGUUAAAGUUGUUGAGUAUAAAAAGUGGACAGCUAAAGAAGGGAUUGGAUUCAUACCUGAAGUACCAAAACUUAGCAGUAAGGGUGAAGGGGCUGUUAAAUUGAUUAAAAAGAAGAGUGAAGACGGUGUUAAAGUAGAUCAUAGUGAUGGUAGUAUUGAGAAGAUAGAUAGAGAAAAAGGAGGGAAUGGAUUAUAUGUAGGGAAGAAAGUGAGGGUAGUGAGAGGAAAGGAAAUGGGAAUGAAAGGAGAAGUUUUGGAGGUGAAUAGCAGUGGAGAUUUGGUGAUCUUAAAGCUUGCGGACAAAGAGGUGAAGCUUCAAGCACGAGACUUGGCUGAAUUGGGUUCAGUGGAGGAGGAGAGGUGUUUGAAGAAGUUGUUAGAAUUGAAGAUUAGAGAAGAAAAGAGUAAACUUGAUGGGGUUAGGAAACAGUCAUCUGGAGGUAGAAGUAGAGAUGAAGCAACAACGGAGAGUAAAAAGGAAAGCAGAAGAAGUAGAGAUGAAAGGAGUGAUAAAGUAUCUUGGCUUGCUAGUCACAUCAGAGUUAGGAUUAUAAGUAAGGAUUUGAAAAAGGGAAGAUUGUAUCUAAAGAAAGGAGAAAUUAUGGAUGUGGUUGGACCGACAAGUUGUGAUAUAUGUAUGGAUGAAACUAGGGAGUUGAUACAAGGUGUGGAUCAGGAAUUGCUUGAGACUGCUCUUCCUAAGCGUGGUGGUCCAGUUCUUGUUCUGUAUGGUAGGAACAAAGGUGUGUAUGGCCACUUGGUUGAGAAGGAUAGUGAGAAGGAGACUGGAAUUAUCCGAGAUGGUGAUACAAAGGAGUUACUCAAAGUGCGACUUGAACAAAUUGCUGAGUAUCUUGGAGAUCCAAGCUAUAUUGGUUAUUGAUCCCAGUCCUAGUGAGUAGAAUUUGGCAUUGGCAUGAUGAGGAAUUGCUAUCAAAUCAAAGGAAACAGUAUCAUGAAGGUGCUACGCAGGAAGUCACAUUUGCCGAAGAAGACUCUGAUGUUUUGCUUAUACAUGUAUUUUAGCUCAUCUCGGUUGUACAUUUUAUAACUGCCUGAAUUUCUUUCGUAAAUGAGGGUUCCAACUCAUACUGCUGAAGUGUUACGACAAGAAGCAUCUGUAGAAUCCCCAUACUUUCUCUCAGUAUUCUUACUAUCUCUGUUUAGUCACACGG